GCUUAGCCAUAAACUCAGAUAUUUUAUACACAAAAAUAUCCGCCAGAGAACUACGAGCAAAAUGCUUAAAACUCUAAAGACUUGGCGGUGCCUCAAACCCCCCUAGAGGAGCCUGUUCUAUAAUCGAUAAUCCACGAUUCACCUCACCAUCUCUUGCCAAUACCGCCUAUAUACCACCGUCACCAGCCUACCUUGUGAAGGAUAUAAAAGUAAGCAAAAUAACUAACAUACAGCUAACAAGUCAGGUCAAGGUGUAGCUAACUGAGAUGGAAGAAAUGGGCUACAUUUUCUAAACUAGAAAUUAUAUCACGGAAAGAACUAUGAAACAAGUCCCAUAAGUAGGAUUUAGCAGUAAACAGGGAUCAGAAUGCCCAAUUUAAGCCGGUCCUAAGGCACGC
rnacentral:rRNA from 1 species